rnacentral:rRNA from 1 species
GGCUGCGCUAACCGCAAGGAGGACGAGGCCCCUAAGGUUGGUUACGGUUCAUGACGUGGGGUG